AGAGUUUGAUCAUGGCUCAGGACGAACGCUGGCGGCGUGCUUAACACAUGCAAGUCGAACGAGACGAUUGAAAGCUUGCUUUUGAAAGUCGAGUGGCAAACGGGUGAGUAACGCGUAGACAACCUGCCGUAAAGAUGGGGACAACAGUCCGAAAGGACUGCUAAUACCGAAUGUUGUAAAUCUUCCGCAUGGAAGACUUACUAAAGGUGGCCUCUACUUGUAAGCUAUCGCUUUACGAUGGGUCUGCGUCUGAUUAGCUGGUUGGUGGGGUAACGGCCUACCAAGGCGACGAUCAGUAGCCGGUCUGAGAGGAUGAACGGCCACAUUGGAACUGAGACACGGUCCAGACUCCUACGGGAGGCAGCAGUGGGGAAUCUUCCGCAAUGGGCGCAAGCCUGACGGAGCAACGCCGCGUGAGUGAAGAAGGGUUUCGACUCGUAAAGCUCUGUUGUCGGGGACGAACGUGGAGACGGCAAAUAGUCGUUUCCAAUGACGGUACCUGACGAGGAAGCCACGGCUAACUACGUGCCAGCAGCCGCGGUAAUACGUAGGUGGCGAGCGUUGUCCGGAAUUAUUGGGCGUAAAGGGAGCGCAGGCGGGAAGGUAAGUCUAUCUUAAAAGUGCGGGGCUCAACCCCGUGAGGGGAUGGAAACUAUCUUUCUUGAGUGCAGGAGAGGAAAGCGGAAUUCCUAGUGUAGCGGUGAAAUGCGUAGAUAUUAGGAGGAACACCAGUGGCGAAGGCGGCUUUCUGGACUGUAACUGACGCUGAGGCUCGAAAGCGUGGGGAGCGAACAGGAUUAGAUACCCUGGUAGUCCACGCCGUAAACGAUGAAUGCUAGGUGUAGGAGGUAUCGACCCCUUCUGUGCCGGAGUUAACGCAAUAAGCAUUCCGCCUGGGGAGUACGGCCGCAAGGCUGAAACUCAAAGGAAUUGACGGGGGCCCGCACAAGCGGUGGAGUAUGUGGUUUAAUUCGACGCAACGCGAAGAACCUUACCAGGGCUUGACAUUGAGUGAAAGGACAAGAGAUUGUCCCCUCUCUUCGGAGACACGAAAACAGGUGGUGCAUGGCUGUCGUCAGCUCGUGUCGUGAGAUGUUGGGUUAAGUCCCGCAACGAGCGCAACCCUUAUCCUUUGUUGCCAGCACGUUAUGGUGGGAACUCAAAGGAGACUGCCGCGGACAAC
rnacentral:rRNA from 1 species